rnacentral:rRNA from 1 species
GGUUAAGCGACUAAGCGUACACGGUGGAUGCCCUGGCAGUCAGAGGCGAUGAAGGACGUGCUAAUCUGCGAAAAGCGUCGGUAAGGUGAUAUGAACCGUUAUAGCCGGCGAUGUCCGAAUGGGGAAACCCAGUGUGAUUCGUCACACUAUCGUUAACUGAAUACAUAGGUUAACGAGGCGAACCGGGGGAACUGAAACAUCUAAGUACCCCGAGGAAAAGAAAUCAACCGAGAUUCCCCCAGUAGCGGCGAGCGAACGGGGAGCAGCCCAGAGUCUGAAUCAGCUUGUGUGUUAGUGGAACGGUCUGGAAAGUCCGACGGUACAGGGUGAUAGUCCCGUACACCAAAAUGCACAGGCUGUGAACUCGAAGAGUAGGGCGGGACACGUGGUAUCCUGUCUGAAUAUGGGGGGACCAUCCUCCAAGGCUAAAUACUCCUGACUGACCGAUAGUGAACCAGUACCGUGAGGGAAAGGCGAAAAGAACCCCGGCGAGGGGAGUGAAAAAGAACCUGAAACCGUGUACGUACAAGCAGUGGGAGCACCUUCGGGUGUGACUGCGUACCUUUUGUAUAAUGGGUCAGCGACUUAUAUUCUGUAGCAAGGUUAACCGUAUAGGGGAGCCGCAGGGAAACCGAGUCUUAACUGGGCGUUAAGUUGCAGGGUAUAGACCCGAAACCCGGUGAUCUAGCCAUGGGCAGGUUGAAGGUUGGGUAACACUAACUGGAGGACCGAACCGACUAAUGUUGAAAAAUUAGCGGAUGACUUGUGGCUGGGGGUGAAAGGCCAAUCAAACCGGGAGAUAGCUGGUUCUCCCCGAAAGCUAUUUAGGUAGCGCCUCGUGAAUUCAUCUUCGGGGGUAGAGCACUGUUUCGGCUAGGGGGUCAUCCCGACUUACCAACCCGAUGCAAACUACGAAUACCGAAGAAUGUUAUCACGGGAGACACACGGCGGGUGCUAACGUCCGUCGUGAAGAGGGAAACAACCCAGACCGCCAGCUAAGGUCCCAAAGUCAUGGUUAAGUGGGAAACGAUGUGGGAAGGCACAGACAGCCAGGAUGUUGGCUUAGAAGCAGCCAUCAUUUAAAGAAAGCGUAAUAGCUCACUGGUCGAGUCGGCCUGCGCGGAAGAUGUAACGGGGCUAAACCAUGCACCGAAGCUGCGGCAGCGACACUAUGUGUUGUUGGGUAGGGGAGCGUUCUGUAAGCCUGCGAAGGUGACCUGUGAGGGUUGCUGGAGGUAUCAGAAGUGCGAAUGCUGACAUAAGUAACGAUAAAGCGGGUGAAAAGCCCGCUCGCCGGAAGACCAAGGGUUCCUGUCCAACGUUAAUCGGGGCAGGGUGAGUCGACCCCUAAGGCGAGGCCGAAAGGCGUAGUCGAUGGGAAACAGGUUAAUAUUCCUGUACUUGGUGUUACUGCGAAGGGGGGACGGAGAAGGCUAUGUUAGCCGGGCGACGGUUGUCCCGGUUUAAGCAUGUAGGCUGGUUGUCCAGGCAAAUCCGGAUAAUCAAGGCUGAGGUGUGAUGACGAGGCACUACGGUGCUGAAGUAACAAAUGCCCUGCUUCCAGGAAAAGCCUCUAAGCAUCAGGUAACAUCAAAUCGUACCCCAAACCGACACAGGUGGUCAGGUAGAGAAUACCAAGGCGCUUGAGAGAACUCGGGUGAAGGAACUAGGCAAAAUGGUGCCGUAACUUCGGGAGAAGGCACGCUGGUGUGUAGGUGAAGUCCCUGCGGAUGGAGCUGAGACCAGUCGAAGAUACCAGCUGGCUGCAACUGUUUAUUAAAAACACAGCACUGUGCAAACACGAAAGUGGACGUAUACGGUGUGACGCCUGCCCGGUGCCGGAAGGUUAAUUGAUGGGGUUAUCCGUAAGGAGAAGCUCUUGAUCGAAGCCCCGGUAAACGGCGGCCGUAACUAUAACGGUCCUAAGGUAGCGAAAUUCCUUGUCGGGUAAGUUCCGACCUGCACGAAUGGCGUAAUGAUGGCCAGGCUGUCUCCACCCGAGACUCAGUGAAAUUGAACUCGCUGUGAAGAUGCAGUGUACCCGCGGCAAGACGGAAAGACCCCGUGAACCUUUACUAUAGCUUGACACUGAACAUUGAGCCUUGAUGUGUAGGAUAGGUGGGAGGCUUUGAAGCGUGGACGCCAGUCUGCGUGGAGCCAACCUUGAAAUACCACCCUUUAAUGUUUGAUGUUCUAACGUUGGCCCCUUACCGGGGUUGCGGACAGUGUCUGGUGGGUAGUUUGACUGGGGCGGUCUCCUCCCAAAGCGUAACGGAGGAGCACGAAGGUUAGCUAAUCCUGGUCGGACAUCAGGAGGUUAGUGCAAUGGCAUAAGCUAGCUUGACUGCGAGCGUGACGGCGCGAGCAGGUGCGAAAGCAGGUCAUAGUGAUCCGGUGGUUCUGAAUGGAAGGGCCAUCGCUCAACGGAUAAAAGGUACUCCGGGGAUAACAGGCUGAUACCGCCCAAGAGUUCAUAUCGACGGCGGUGUUUGGCACCUCGAUGUCGGCUCAUCACAUCCUGGGGCUGAAGUAGGUCCCAAGGGUAUGGCUGUUCGCCAUUUAAAGUGGUACGCGAGCUGGGUUUAGAACGUCGUGAGACAGUUCGGUCCCUAUCUGCCGUGGGCGCUGGAGAAUUGAGGGGGGCUGCUCCUAGUACGAGAGGACCGGAGUGGACGCAUCACUGGUGUUCGGGUUGUCAUGCCAAUGGCACUGCCCGGUAGCUAAAUGCGGAAGAGAUAAGUGCUGAAAGCAUCUAAGCACGAAACUUGCCCCGAGAUGAGUUCUCCCUGAGACUUUAAGUCUCCUGAAGGAACGUUAAAGACGAUGACGUUGAUAGGCCGGGUGUGUAAGCGCAGCGAUGCGUUGAGCUAACCGGUACUAAUGAACCGUGAGGCUUAACCUU